rnacentral:rRNA from 1 species
GACGAACCGUGCGAACGUUAUUCGGAAUCACUGGGCUUAAAGCGCGUGUAGGCGGGUCGGCGCGUCGGCCGCUGAAAUCCCCCGGCUCAACCGGGGAAGGGGCGCCGAUACGGCCGGCCUGGAGGGACGUAGGGGGGGCUGGAACUUCCGGUGGAGCGGUGAAAUGCGUUGAGAUCGGAAGGAACGCCCGUGGCGAAAGCGAGCCCCUGGACGUCUACUGACGCUGAGACGCGAAAGCCAGGGGAGCGAACGGG